rnacentral:lncRNA from 1 species
GAGGGAGUGCCAAGCUGUUACUGUUUACCCUCUGGCCCAGAUCUUUCUUCAGAAGAAACCUGAGUGGUCUCACAGUUUAUCUCUUACACAGGGGUUUGGAGUAAGAUUCAUACCUGCUUCACCAGUGAUUUUCAAAGGAGGCAAAUCCUAUUUGAAGCUAAAGUCACAUAAAGAGAUUUGGAAUGAGGAAACAAAUUAUAGCAGCCUGCAAGUUGUAGAAUGAAGAAAUGCAAAUGUAAAGUACUGAACUUUGUCAUGGAUAGAUUUACCAAAGAGAAUUACUCUGCAUAACAUGAAUAAUGGAGUUCAGAAGGAAGCCCAUAUCCCAGACUUCCUCGGUUGUGCUGUUUUACUGAGGUUGGGUGGAGUCAACACAUCAUGGAUAAAGAAGUCCCUAAAGGCAGUCCCAGGGAGCCCGCACUGAACAUCAAGAAGUCAGACAAAUCCUUCAAACGCAAGAAGCCCACCGAAAAUGUGCUGAUCUUUUUAAUCAACAGACAACUGGGCAGGCACAGAAGUGACAUCGACCUGUCAAGAUGGGUGUGGAUGCUGUCAUAAAGCAACUCUAGGGUGGACAUGGCCUUGGACAAAAAGUCAUGUGGCUUACGUGCUGAAGCCUGCCCAUAUUUUUGAGAAAUUAAAUAUAAUUAGAACAAUAAACUCCUCCCAUGUUUGAGUCAUUAAAACAGAGUCUGUCAUUUCACUCCUUGAGGUUGGAUGUGUGUUUGCUGACAGGGUGUUCUUGGGUUACACUGGAAGGGGCUUCUGUUCAUCCUAACACGCUGUGCAGGGGUGCUUAGACCCAGGGGAGAGGGUGAGAUCAUGCUGCACACCAGAUCUCUCCCACCAUCAAUCUGAAAAACACUGCAAAGUCAAAGUGAUGUAGUACUUGGCAUUUAAGGACCAAAGACUCUUCUCCCUAGCCAUUUUGAAGAGACUGCCCUGGUGUUCCCCUCUAAAACCCAAUGCUUGUCCUAGUGAAAAGACAUUGUUUAAGAGCAGACCAACAGUUGGCCUGGGGGUUUGGGAUAUGUUUUAAUACUGCCAAUGUCAUAUCCACAGAGCCUUCCAGAGGCAACCGCUCUGCCCUUUGUCCCCAGGAAAGUAUAGAAUGCUCUGGUCACUUUUUUGUGUCAUGUCAAACAAACCUGCUCAGGCCACAGCCAAAGAUAAUUCAUUUGACUGAAAUGAAGCCACCUGGUAGGACAACAACACACAUGAGAUGGCUCCCAUUGAAGAAGCUCUGUCCCCAAGGAAUGUGCUGAGCAAGUCAGAUACUCAUUCUGAGAAACCUGAAAUGGGAACUAUGUGGGCAAUUGGUCACUGACAAGUGAGAGUUAAAGCUGAAGAGGGGACAGGGAGAGCAAAGAGGUCAGAGCCGUGGCAAACAUGGGCAAGCCUAAGUGAGGAGUAAGAUGAAAUUUACAUAAGGUGAACCAUUAAAGCCAUCACAGAUUCCAAGCAUUUCUCUUGUCCUUUCACGUGAGCUGCAAAAUAAGCCCCUGCAAGCAGUCCUCUGUCCCCUCUUCCCCUCCUCCCCAAUUCCCUGUGUUCUCACAACCUGUCCAGCAUUCCCCAAGGCCCCUUCCUGUGUCCCCUCCCCCGCCUACAUCUAAGGGGCUGUUACUCUCUCUUCCCUUAGCCAGGUCUCUUCCAGAUUUUUUAUGUGGUACGAAGUUAAACUGCUCUAUGUCCUUUUCACUGUCCUCUUUGUCCCUGUCACCUUCUCUGUCCCUGCACUGAUGCAGCAUCGCCAAAAAAGAGCCACCAGCCUCUCCUCAGAGGACGCAGCUGGCUGUAGGAUGGAGAGGAGGGGUUAGAGGCUGCCAGGUAGAGGGGCCUCCUGGGUGCACCGUUGGGAGGAACGCUGCCUGGACACUGCUAUGUCGGUGACUAUUUACCUGCAGCCCAGCAUCAAACAGUGGCUGUGAGGUGGAGAAUAGGUGGGGAAUGGAGGCUGAAAGGGCAGCAGGUAGGGCAAGAAGGAGCCAAACCCACAGGAGCAGAGGCCAAUAACAGCCAACCUCCUACACUCCAUGGCCACACAACAGAAGAGACAGAAUUUAGGAUACAGAGUUAUGUGUGGAUAAAUCUCACCAUCAUACUGAGUGAGAAAACAAGUAGCACAGAAUUAUGUACCAAAGAGAAACCCAACUGUGCCAAGCAGUACUUGGGUAUAUACAUAGACAGUAAAGUUAUCCAAACUAGAGCAGCAGCACAUUCAAGUGGAACUCUGUCCACUUUCCGACUUGACUAGUGCCCCAAAACAAUUGGUACCAACUAUUUCCCAUCUUGCAAGGAGUUGCCUAACAAUGGAGGCCUGGUAAAGAAGGUAAUCACAAUCAUGUGACCUCUGACCACUCACUCACCUACAGGUGUCUACUCACACUGGAAGUCUGGGUGGGUUGGAGACCAGAGAGGCAUGCUUCCCAGGGAUUGGAGGCUGUGCCGAGUUUAAACGAGGAAAACUUCCUACACUUCAAAUUCACUGGAAGGUUGGGGCUACUCAGUGUUCACCUAGAGAACUUGACUUUUGUUUCCAGAAGUGACACUCACAAGGAAGAAAUUCAGGAGGAAAGUGGCUGUAGGAGAGGGAGAGAAGAUUUGGCCAAAAUUCCUCUGAAGAGAUUUUUCUCAGGAGAUCUUAGUGGCGGCCAAAUGUAACCUUCUCGGGACGGGGAAGGGGGUGGGAAUCUGGAUGCAGCUGACUCACAGGAAUCAGAGGCUGACUGGAGACCAUGCACACAGUGUCAGGAGACACUCUCUUCUUCUACUCUUUCAUUUCUAGCUGCUGCCUCUCAUUGCUCAAAUCACUAACCAGACAGCCAGGAAGCCAAGGUGAUGUCUUCCAUGGUAUCAGCCUUCUGGAACACACAGCCCUGCAGAGAAGCAUAUAUC